GUAUAGUGACACAGUAACAGAGGGAUUGAGGGCCUGCUCAGUGAGUUUACAUGUUAGAGGGAGUGGGGUAUAGUGACACAGUAACAGAGGGAUUGAGGCCCUGCUCAGUGAGUUUACAUGUUAGAGGGAGUGGGGUAUAGUGACACAGUAACAGAGGGAUUGAGGGCCCUGCUCAGUGAGUUUACAUGUUAGAGGGAGUGGGGUAUAGUGACACAGUAACAGAGGGAUUGAGGGCCUGCUCAGUGAGUUUACAUGUUAGAGGGAGUGGGGUAUAGUGACACAGUAACAGAGGGAUUGAGGCCCUGCUCAGUGAGUUUACAUGUUAGAGGGAGUGGGGUAUAGUGACACAGUAACAGAGGGAUUGAGGGCCCUGCUCAGUGAGUUUACAUGCUAGAGGGAGUGGGGUAUAGUGACACAGUAACAGAGGGAUUGAGGGCCUGCUCAGUGAGCUUACAUGUUAGAGGGAGUGGGGUAUAGUGACAGUAACAGAGGGAUUGAGGGCCUGCUCAGUGAGUUUACAUGUUAGAGGGAGUGGGGUAUAGUGACACAGUAACAGAGGGAUUGAGGGCCCUGCUCAGUGAGUUUACAUGUUAGAGGGAGUGGGGUAUAAUGACACAGUAACAGAGGGAUUGAGGGCC